GUGGUGCCAUGUCUGCGCCCAGGAUCCAAACUGGCAAAACCCUGGGCCACUGCAGCGGAGCGCGCAAACUUAACCACUCGGUCACAGGGCUGGCCCUAUCCUCAGCUCUUGAAUUCCCCUAUGGACCAUCCUCUCAGAUGGAGCUACCUGCACCAUGGGUUUCUCCAUCACUAAUUGCUGUUUACUACAUAGGCUUCAUAUCAUUACUAUGAAGAGGUGGUGAUGCCUGCAGUCAAGUCACUCAGAACAUUCUGCUCUAUUUGGGAUGGAUCAAUACCAGGAAGUCCCCUGAAGCUUCAAGAACCCAUGACUGCUAAUGAAGCCACAAAUCAUGUGUUGGAAACGUGGAUAUCUGGCAGCCAUUGUUUUGACUCUGUGCUCACUAUGAAUAUGAAAAGGAUUGGAAAUGAGAACUAGGCUUUCCUAAUGCUAACCAUGACCUCUUGGUUUUAUCUCUAGUGGAGCUGAGCUAUUCCAUGCCGAUCUUCAGACAAUAAACUUCACAUGAACCCCACAACCUAACUGCUAUAGGUGGAGUGGGGUGAGCUGGAGGUGCCAUCUAGUUAGGCUGUCUAGUCUCCGAGGCAGAGCUUCACGGGAUGACACUCCUCUGCGCAGUCACAGUGGUCGUGUCUGUUCUCAGGCUGGGGGUUCAGAGCACCAUUUUCAUUAGUGCACCAGAUCCAAGGGAUUCUCAGGAGCUGACUGGCAGUAAGCUAACUCUUAAAGGCCAGAUGAGUGAGCCAGAGUGCAAACUUAUUAAUUUAACAUGCAGAGAUGAUCCAUUCUGCAACCACAAAGUUCCCGUCUGCAAAUCAGAGCACCUUCUUUGUUGUAUUUGAGUCUGAGAGAAAGCAAAUUGUGAUAUGGAUUUGUUUGGCAAAAUGGAACCAGAAGAGAGAUGUGGGGUCUUAAGGAAUGAGGCACGAGUGUCUCGACUCUCCAUGUGCUGGUGUGAGUGCGCUCAGCCUCACUCCGUCCUGGAUUGGGCUGGGUGUAAACACUGUCGAGUGGCUCUUAGGGCUCAUCUUCUUUAGGACUCCAAGACAAACACAUUAUUUCUCUAACUGUUUAUGUCUUUGAUCGGGCUACAGAUAUUAUAUUGUCAAACUGAAGUGAUUAAGACCAGGGCAUUUGGGGUACGGAAGACAGGAAUUUGUUCAAAUUUUAACUUUACCAUUUACUAACUGUGUGACACUGAGCAAGUUAGUUCACUUCUGUAAGCCUUGGUUUACUUAUUAGUAAAGUGGGAAUAAUAAUAGUAUUCCAGGGUCCUUGUGAGGACUGAGUGAGGUAAUUCAUAUACAGCACUUGGCACAGUGUCUGAUAAUAUUCAAUCAAUUUUUAAUUGGAUGGAGGAAACAUUACUCUUUUUACCUGUUGGCCCUAGGAGGCACUGUGGCUUCAGCACAUUUCUAAUCACUUUGAUUAUGCGUUGGCUGUACUGUGUUAGCUCUGAGAGUUUUCCGGCAGCCUCCCUACUGCUUUCUCUACUGAGCCCAUGACCUGACUCCAGGGAACAUUAGGGCCAUAAGAGACAAGGGCAACAGAUGUUGUACUAGGAGAAGGGCCACCCGUCCUGUCUGAACUGCCCUAUCAUGUCCGUUCUCCGCCAAAGUGAUCCUGUUUACAGGGCUGGCUUCAAACGGUUCUCCCUCCUCCUGGCACGCCUUCUUCCUGUUGGCUGCCAAAGAGUCUGAAGGUAGAUAUGUUAUGGGGAAGUCCUUUCCAGCUGAGUUUCAUAAAUUCUGGGAAAUAGAAGAGUUGGACCUAUAUGUGGUAAUCAUUUCACUAUAUAUAUGAAUAUCAAAACACCUUAAAUAUGUAUAAUUUUUAUUUAAAAAAUAAAGUAAAAAAGAAAAGU